rnacentral:misc_RNA from 1 species
CCAAUAGCGUAUAUUAAGGUUGCUGCGGUUAAAAAGCUCGUAGUUGAAUUUCGGAAUUGAUGCAUCGGUCGUGCCUUAAGGGGCAUGAACUGGUGUAGCCAAUUUCUCACCUUCUGGUGAAUUGUGAUGUUCUUAAUGGGUGUCUCAAUGAACUAGAAUUUUUUACUUUGAAAAAAUUAGAGUGUUUAAAGCAGGCAUUAAUUUGCUUGAAUACAUUAGCAUGGAAUAAUGAAAUAGGACAGUGGUUCCGUUUUGUUGGUUUCUAGGAUCACGUAAUGAUUAAUAGGGACAGUUGGGGGCAUUAGUAUUCAAUUGUCAGAGGUGAAAUUCUUGGAUUUAUUGAAGACUAACUAUUGCGAAAGCAUUUGCCAAGGAUGUUUUCAUUAAUCAAGAACGAAAGUUAGGGGAUCAAAGACGAUUAAGUACGUCGUAGUCCUAACCAUAAACUAUACCGACUAGGAAUCAGACGAUGUUAAUUUUUUAAUGACUCGUUUGGUACCUUACG